rnacentral:rRNA from 1 species
AUUGAACGCUGGCGGCAGGCCUAACACAUGCAAGUCGAGCGGAGCGGCGGACGGGUGAGUAAUGCCUAGGACUGUGCCUGGGCGUGGGGGAUAACGUUCGGAAAUGGGCGCGAAUACCGCAUACUAUAAGCUGCGCCUAGGGCGGGUUAGCUAGUUGGUGUGGUAAAGGCCUACCAAGGCGACGAUCCGUAACUGGUCUGAGAGGAUGAUCAGUCCCACUGGAACUGAGACACGUUCCAGACUCCUACGGGAGGCAGCAGUGGGGAAUAUUGGACAAUGGGCGAAAGCCUGAUCCAGCCAUGCCGCGUGUAUGAAGAAGGUCUUCGGAUUGUAAAGCACUUUAAGUUGGGAGGCGUUACCAACAGAAGAAGCACCGGCUAACUUCGUGCCAGCAGCCGCGGUAAUUC